rnacentral:rRNA from 1 species
GCUUACGGCCAUACCACCCUGAGAACGCCCGAUCUCGUCUGAUCUCGGAAGCUAUGCAGGGUCGGGCCUGGUUAGUGCUUGGAUGGGAGACCGCUUGGGAAUACCAGAUGCUGUAAGCU